AUGGACCUAACAGAAGCAGAAGAUAUUAAGAAGAGGUGGCAAGAAUACAUGGAAGAACUGCACAAAAAAGAUCUUCACGACCCAGAUAAUCAUGAUGAUGUGAUCACUCAUCUAGAGCCAGACAUCCUGCAAUGUGAAGUCAAGUGGGCCUUGGAAAGCAUUGCUACGAACAAAGCUAGUGGAGGUGAUGGAAUUCCAGUUGAGCUGUUUCAAAUCCUGAAAGAUGAUGCUGUGAAAGUGCUGCACUCAAUAUGCCAACAAAUUUGGAAAACUCAGCAGUGGCCACAGGACUGGAAAAGGUCAGUUUUCAUUCCAAUUCUAAAGAAAGGCAAUGCCAAAGAAUGCUCAAACUACCGCACACUUGCACUCAUCUCACAUGCUAGUAAAGUAAUGCUCAAAAUUCUCCAAGCCAGGCUUCAGCAAUACGUGAACCGUGAACUCCCUGAUGUUCAAGCUGGUUUUAGAAAAGGCAGAGGAACCAGAGAUCAAAUUGCCAACAUCCGCUGGAUCAUGGAAAAAGCUAGAGAGUUCCAGAAAAACAUCUAUUUCUGCUUUAUUGACUAUGCCAAAGCCUUUGACUGUGCAGAUCACAAUAAACUGUGGAAAAUUCUGAAACAGAUGGGAAUACCAGAGCACCUAACCUGCCUCUUGAGAAAUCUGUAUGCAGGUCAGGAAGCAACAGUUAGAACUGGACAUGGAACAACAGACUGGUUCCAAAUAGGAAAAGGAGUGCGUCAAGGCUGUAUAUUGUCACCCUGCUUAUUCAACUUAUAUGCAGAGUACAUCAUGAGAAACGCUGUACUGGGAGAAACACAAGCUGGAAUCAAGAUUGCCGAGAGAAAUAUCAAUAACCUCAGAUAUGCAGAUGACACCAUCCUUAUGGCAGAAAGUGAAGAGGAGCUAAAAAGCCUCUUGAUGAAAGUGAAAGAGAAGAGUGAAAAAGUUGGUUUAAAGCUCAACAUUGAGGAAACGAAGAUCAUGGCAUCUGGUCCCAUCACUUCAUGGGAAAUAGACGGGGAAACAGUAGAAACAGUGUCAGACUUUAUUUUUCUGGGCUCCAAAAUCACUGCAGAUGGGGACUGCAGCCAUGAAAUUAAAAGAUGCUUACUCCUUGGAAGAAAAGUUAUGACCAACCUAGAUAGCAUAUUCAAAAGCAGGGACAUUACAUUGCCAGCAAAGGUCCGUCUAGUCAAGGCUAUGGCUUUUCCUGUGGUCAUGUAUGGAUGUGAGAGUUGGACUGUGAAGAAGGCUGAGCGCUGA
rnacentral:lncRNA from 1 species